rnacentral:rRNA from 1 species
AUUGAACGCUGGCGGCAGGCCUAACACAUGCAAGUCGAGCGGAUGAAGGGAGCUUGCUUCUGGAUUCAGCGGCGGACGGGUGAGUAAUGCCCAGGAAUCUGCCUGGUAGUGGGGGAUAACGUCCGGAAACGGGCGCUAAUACCGCAUACGUCCUGAGGGAGAAAGUGGGGGAUCUUCGGACCUCACGCUAUCAGAUGAGCCUAGGUCGGAUUAGCUAGUUGGUGGGGUAAAGGCCUACCAAGGCGACGAUCCGUAACUGGUCUGAGAGGAUGAUCAGUCACACUGGAACUGAGACACGGUCCAGACUCCUACGGGAGGCAGCAGUGGGGAAUAUUGGACAAUGGGCGAAAGCCUGAUCCAGCCAUGCCGCGUGUGUGAAGAAGGUCUUCGGAUUGUAAAGCACUUUAAGUUGGGAGGAAGGGCAGUAAGUUAAUACCUUGCUGUUUUGACGUUACCAACAGAAUAAGCACCGGCUAACUUCGUG